rnacentral:rRNA from 1 species
AGUGAACGCUGGCGGUAGGCCUAACACAUGCAGGUCGAACGGCAGCACAGGAGAGCUUGCUCUCUGGGUGGCGAGUGGCGGACGGGUGAGGAAUACAUCGGAAUCUACUCUGUAGUGGGGGAUAACGUAGGGAAACUUACGCUAAUACCGCAUACGACCUACGGGUGAAAGCAGGGGACCUUCGGGCCUUGCGCGAUUGAAUGAGCCGAUGUCGGAUUAGCUAGUUGGCGGGGUAAAGGCCCACCAAGGCGACGAUCCGUAGCUGGUCUGAGAGGAUGAUCAGCUACACUGGAACUGAGACACGGUCCAGACUCCUACGGGAGGCAGCAGUGGGGAAUAUUGGACAAUGGGCGCAAGCCUGAUCCAGCCAUACCGCGUGGGUGAAGAAGGCCUUCGGGUUGUAAAGCCCUUUUGUUGGGAAAGAAAUCCAGCUGGCUAAUACCCGGUUGGGAUGACGGUACCCAAAGAAUAAGCACCGGCUAACUUCGUGCCAGCCGCCGCAGUAA